UGGUGAAUAUUGGACAAUGGGCGAAAGCCUGAUCCAGCCAUGCCGCGUGUGUGAAGAAGUUCUUCGGAUUGUAAAGCACUUUAAGUUGGGAGGAAGGGCAGUAAGCGAAUACCUUGCUGUUUUGACGUUACCGACAGAAUAAGCACCGGCUAACUCUGUGCCAGCAGCCUCGGUAAUACAGAGGGUGCAAGCGUUACUCGGAAUUACUGGGCGUAAAGCGCGCGUAGGUGGUUCGUUAAGUUGAAUGUGAAAGCCCCGGGCUCAACCUGGGAACGUCAUCCACAACGGGCGAGCUAGUGUAGGGAAGAGGGUGGGGGAAUUUCCUGUGGAGCGGUGAAAUGCGUAGAUAUAGGAAGGAACACAAGUAGCGAAGGCGACCACCUGGGCUCAUACUGACGCUGAGGUAUGAAAGCAUGGGGAUCAAACAGG
rnacentral:rRNA from 1 species